rnacentral:sRNA from 1 species
CAUAAUGUAUGUAAAACUUUCUAGGUCAAAGGUCAGGGUCAAAAACUUUGGUUUCUGUUGACCACCCCAUGUCCUAUGACCUAGGAAGUUGUACAAACAUUAUGACACACCCUCUGGUGUUGGGUAAUAUACAUGUUAAGUAUAAACUUUGAAAUCUUAAUGUUUCUCAAGAUAUAGAGUGGACACAAUCUUUACCAUAGGACAUGGGGUUGUCAACUGAAACCAAAGUUUUUGACCUUGACCUUUGACCUAGGAAGUUGUACAUACAUAAUG